ACUGGGGAGGGGGGGUCCCUCAGCUCAGAUUGCGAGAGGGUGCAGGCCAGGCCAAGGGACCCCACUGGUGCUCA
rnacentral:pre_miRNA from 1 species